rnacentral:rRNA from 1 species
GAUGAACGCUGGCGGUAUGCUUAACACAUGCAAGUCGAACGGACUCUUCGGAGUUAGUGGCGGACGGGUGAGUAACGCGUGAGAAUCUGGCUUUGGGUUCGGGACAACCACUGGAAACGGUGGCUAAUACCGGAUGUGCCGAGAGGUAAAAGAGAAAUUGCCUGAAGAUGAGCUCGCGUCUGAUUAGCUAGUUGGUGAGGUAAAGGCUCACCAAGGCAGCGAUCAGUAGCUGGUCUGAGAGGAGGACCAGCCACACUGGGACUGAGACACGGCCCAGACUCCUACGGGAGGCAGCAGUGGGGAAUUUUCCGCAAUGGGCGAAAGCCUGACGGAGCAAUACCGCGUGAGGGAAGAAGGCUCUUGGGUUGUAAACCUCUUUUCUUAGGGACGAACACAAUGACGGUACCUAAGGAAUCAGCAUCGGCUAACUCCGUG